CCUCUUCCCCUCUUCUUCUUCUUCGUUCUUUCGGUCAAACAGUCGCACAAAACCGAGAGACAGUCGCACAGGAGAGAGAGGAGAGGCGACGGCGCCGAUCCCGUCGCCGGCGUCGAGCGGCGCCCCCUCGCCGGUGCCGGCAGCCUCGACCAGCAGGAGGCCGGCCGCUUGCCUCACCUCCAGCAGCUUCGUCCUCCCCGCCUCCCUCCCUCCCGCAGCAGGGGGGCUUGCUGUUCUUGGCCCGGCGACGGCGGCGCCCCCCUCGCCGGCGACGAGUCCAGGAGGUGGUGGCGUCCCUUCCCGCCCGCAGCUUCCGCCUCCCUCCCCUCCCGCAACAGCCGGCGACUCCCGACCCCCGGCGUCGGCUCAACCAGCGUCGCCUCCCGUCGUGGUGCCAGCUUUGGCUCUACCGGCCUCGGCGUCACCUCUAUGUUUGUAGGUUGCUAGCAGCAUUAUGGAUGACCCUAAUUGGCUAGAAAAUCUGAGAAGGCGGCUUGCUAUGUUGAUGGAGCAAACAAAUGGGACAAGCUCACCUACAGUCAUGCCGACUCAACCAAAUCCAGAAGAGGGGAGCUCAAAAUCCCCACGUGCAGGCAAGAAGACGUGUGCUAAGAAACUAGCAUGCAAGAAAAUGAAGCCAACCUAAAAUCAUGUGAAUGAAUCGCUUUUAUUGUCAAUGCAUAUGUGGACUUCUGUGAAACAUGUCAUAUGGCAUGUGCGGACUUCUUUUGAACUAACUAUGAACCAUUUAGUUCCAUGUGAUGAAUGGAUGUGAUGAAUUUGCACUA